AUUAUACUCCACAACUUUUAAUGAUCAACAUUGUUCUGCAGAAACUUCUGUUUCAGAUAGGAUGAGUAGCACAAAUGGAAGCACUGAAGAAAUUGAAAAAUUUUCUAAUGAAAACUCGUCAGAGUCAAAAGAUGAUGCAGAGAUGUUGAUUCCACAUAUGCAUGAGCAACUUGAAGUGACUUAUCAUAGCUCUAAAAUUUCUUCUUUCAAUAUCCCAUUUUUUAAAGAAAGUGGUACCUUCAAACUUCCACUUCAAUCCGAAAUUUCUAUUUAAAUUUCAUAUAAAUCCAUUUCAACUCCUUUAUUUUCGUCUAUUCUA